GACGAACGCUGGCGGCGUGCUUAACACAUGCAAGUCGAACGGGUCUGCCCUGUUUUUUGCGGGGUGGGUCAGUGGCGAACGGGUGAGUAACACGUGAGUAACCUGCCCCUCACUUCUGGAUAACCGCUUGAAAGGGUGGCUAAUACGGGGUGUUCUGGCUGUGCCGCAUGGUGUGGCUGGGAAAGAUUCACUUUUGUGGUGUUUUGGUGGGGGAUGGGCUCGCGGCCUAUCAGCUUGUUGGUGGGGUGAUGGCCUGCCAAGGCUUUGACGGGUAGCCGGCCUGAGAGGGUGGGCGGUCACACUGGGACUGAGAUACGGCCCAGACUCCUGCGGGAGGCAGCAGUGGGGGGUAUUGCACAAUGGGCGGAAGCCUGAUGCAGCGACGUCGCGUGAGGGAUGGAGGCCUUCGGGUUGUGAACCUCUUUCGCCGGUGAAGAAGGUCCUGCUCUUUGUGGUGGGGUUGACGGUAGCCGGGUUAUGAAGCGCCGACUAACUACGUG
rnacentral:rRNA from 1 species